UCUCGUCUACGUGCAUCAUCGUUCUCGUUGGUAAUGGCUUCGUGGAAGAAAACCAUAAUUUCUCCUAUUAGAAAGGCUUGCACCAUCUUCCACCAACACCCGAGAGACCUCAAGAAGUCCCCCUCCGACUCUGACUUAGAACAAGACAAGCGAGUGAGCGUGAGAGACCUACAAGGAGAGGUGUUGGCUUGUGGGUAUGAAGACGUGCAAGUUAUGUGGUCUAUUUUAGACAAGACCAACUCUACUACUACGGUCACCAACGCCACCUCCACCGUCUAUAAUGUGUCUUCUUAACCAUCGUCGUGGUCACCGUUGUCUCGGCCGUGGCCAAAAGAUUGUAGAAAACUCUUUUUCUCUAUUUCUCGGUGAGUUAUGAUUUCGUCAUGUUUAUAGGGAAUGAAUAAAUCCCCAUGAUUUGAAGAAGCUCUUAA